UCCCUGGUGGUCCAAUGGCUAAUACUCUGCACUCCCAGUGCAUGGGGCCUGGGUUCAAUUCCUGGUCAGGGAA
rnacentral:tRNA from 1 species